AGAGUUUGAUCCUGGCUCAGGAUGAACGCUAGCUACAGGCUUAACACAUGCAAGUCGAGGGGCAGCGAGAAGAAAGCUUGCUUCUUGCCGGCGACCGGCGCACGGGUGAGUAACGCGUAUCCAACCUUCCCCUUAGUAGGGCAUAGCCCGGCGAAAGUCGGAUUAAUACCCUAUGUUAUUCGUAGAGGACAUCUGAAAUGAAUCAAAAGAUUUAUCGCUAAGGGAUGGGGAUGCGUCUGAUUAGGUAGUAGGCGGGGUAACGGCCCACCUAGCCUACGAUCAGUAGGGGUUCUGAGAGGAAGGUCCCCCACAUUGGAACUGAGACACGGUCCAAACUCCUACGGGAGGCAGCAGUGAGGAAUAUUGGUCAAUGGACGAGAGUCUGAACCAGCCAAAGUAGCGUGCAGGAUGACGGCCCUAUGGGUUGUAAACUGCUUUUAUACGGGGAUAAAGUGAGGGACGUGUCCCUUUUUGUAGGUACCGUAUGAAUAAGGACCGGCUAAUUCCGUGCCAGCCGCCGC
rnacentral:rRNA from 1 species